GAGACACCCCUAUGGAGCAGGACUUGCUUUAGUGGGGCUUUGGUGCUAACUAAGUCUUCCCCUUGAGUGUGUUGCU
rnacentral:pre_miRNA from 1 species